GACGGAGGAUGCAAGUGUUAUCCGGAAUCACUGGGCGUAAAGCGUCUGUAGGUGGUUCAAUAAGUCAACUGUUAAAUCUUGAGGCUCAACUUCAAAAUCGCAGUCGAAACUAUUGGACUCGAGUAUAGUAGGGGUAAAGGGAAUUUCCAGUGGAGCGGUGAAAUGCGUAGAUAUUGGAAAGACCACCAAUGGCGAAGGCACUCUACUGGGCCAUUACUGACACUGAGAGACGAAAGCUAGGGGAGCGAAUGGG
rnacentral:rRNA from 1 species